rnacentral:rRNA from 1 species
UACAGAGGGGGCAAGCGUUGUUCGGAAUUACUGGGCGUAAAGGGCGCGUAGGCGGCCUGCUAAGUCGAACGUGAAAUCCCUGGGCUCAACCCAGGAACUGCGUCCGAUACUGGUUGGCUUGAAUCCGGGAGAGGGACGUGGAAUUCCAGGUGUAGCGGUGAAAUGCGUAGAUAUCUGGAGGAACACCAAUGGCGAAGGCAGCUCGCUGGGACGGUACUGACGCUGAGGCGCGAAAAGCGUGGGGAGCAAACAGGG